rnacentral:lncRNA from 1 species
GCAAAUCUAAUCGAAUAAUUCCAAAGCAGGAUCUAUAUAUACCUGGUUUUGUUAAGAAGACAAUACUUUGCUCUAUUGCUAUCCAAAGUCUUCUUCUCUGCAAGACACGAUAAAGCAAUCAAAAGCAGAAAAAUUUUCGAGAAACAAAAAAAAUAGGCAUUAAAAGCUAAAAAAGAGAAGAUAAAAAGAAUAAUGAUAUUUCAAUAUGGCCGUUUAAGAAAAAUUAAAAACUGCAACAAAUCAUGUAGGAAGGGAGGAGUUGUUCGUUAGGCUAGCUCUUAUACUAUGAUUCUUUAUACUUGUUUCGAUAACAAUUCUAUUUCAUUGACAUAUCCUUCUUCUAUAAUAACUCUUUUUAUU